rnacentral:rRNA from 1 species
AGUGAACGUUGGCGGCGUGGAUUAGGCAUGCAAGUCGAGCGAGAACCGUAGCAAUACGGGGACAGCGGCGAAAGGGACAGUAAUGUGUAGGUACCUACCCCCGGGUUCGGGAUAGCUGCGGGAAACUGCAGGUAAUACCGAAUAAUGUCUCCGGACCAAAGGUGUGAUUCCACCUGGGGAGGGGCCUGCAUCCUAUUAGCUUGUUGGUGGGGUAACGGCUCACCAAGGCGACGAUGGGUAGCGGGUGUGAGAGCAUGACCCGCGUCAUUGGGACUGAGACACUGCCCAGACACCUACGGGUGGCUGCAGUCGAGAAUCUUCGGCAAUGGGCGCAAGCCUGACCGAGCGACGCCGCGUGCGGGAUGAAGGCCUUCGGGUUGUAAACCGCUGUCGUAGAGGAGGAAAUGCAGGGGGGUUCUCCCUUCUGUUUGACCUAUUCUAGGAGGAAGUACGGGCUAAGUUCGUGCCAGCCGCCGCCGUAACAC